rnacentral:lncRNA from 10 species
UUAAAGGAACGCCAAACAAAGCGGGCGCCAGGAGGGGGCUUCCCAGGUGGCUCUCAACUUGAGUGUGCAGCACAAUCACGUGCAGAGCUUGGUCAGCUGAUUGCUGGACACUACGCACAGGGAGCAUGCCUGGAUACACAGCUUAGGGACAAGAAACCUACGCUCACCAAGUGUCCACCAGCUCCUCGGCAAGGAGGGAGUAAAACGAAUUUUUUCUGCCACAACUUCUCUAGGCAUUUGUCUGGUCUUCUGCUGGAAAAUGUGGAUGUGGUUGUGAUCAUACUAGACCCUGGGAAUAAGGACAAACCUGAUGAAUGGUGAAGUGAGCAGAAAGAAAGUGGAUCCCAGAGGACUUUUCAGAGAGGAGCUUCCAGGCCAGCCCUAGGCUAUACAUCUGUGGACUUUGAAGCAAGAGAUAACUACUAUCUGGAUAAGGAACUUAGAUGGAAGCCAAAAGACCCAGC